rnacentral:rRNA from 1 species
UUGCCUUAGUAGCGGCGAGUGAAGCGGCAAAAGCUCAAAUUUGAAAUCUGGCACUUUCAGUGUCCGAGUUGUAAUUUGAAGAAGGUAUCUUUGGGUCUGGCUCUUGUCUAUGUUUCUUGGAACAGAACGUCACAGAGGGUGAGAAUCCCGUGCGAUGAGAUGUCCCAGACCUAUGUAAAGUUCCUUCGAAGAGUCGAGUUGUUUGGGAAUGCAGCUCUAAGUGGGUGGUAAAUUCCAUCUAAAGCUAAAUAUUGGCGAGAGACCGAUAGCGAACAAGUACAGUGAUGGAAAGAUGAAAAGAACUUUGAAAAGAGAGUGAAAAAGUACGUGAAAUUGUUGAAAGGGAAGGGCUUGAGAUCAGACUUGGUAUUUUGUAUGUUACUCUCUCGGGGGUGGCCUCU